GACGAACGCUGGCGGCGUGCCUAACACAUGCAAGUCGAGCGGGGUUGAAGCGAGGGGUAACUCAAGCUUCUACCUAGCGGCGGACGGGUGAGUAACGCGUGGGCAACCUGCCUCAAGGUCUGGGAUAACAGCUCGAAAGGGCUGCUAAUACCGGAUAUGCCUAUGGCCUCGCAUGGGGCUAUGAGCAAAGGGGAAACCCGCCUUGAGAUGGGCCCGCGUCCCAUCAGCUAGUUGGUGAGGUAACAGCUCACCAAGGCGACGACGGGUAGCCGGCCUGAGAGGACGACCAGUCACACUGGGACUGAGACACGGCCCAGACUCCUACGGGAGGCAGCAGUGGGGAAUUUUGGACAAUGGGGGAAACCCUGAUCCAGCAAUGCCGCGUGUGUGAAGAAGGCCUUCGGGUUGUAAAGCACUUUUGGCGGGAACGAAACGGCGCUGGUUAAUACCUGGCGCUAAUGACGGUACCCGCAGAAUAAGCACCGGCUAACUACGUG
rnacentral:rRNA from 1 species